UACGUAGGGUGCGAGCGUUGUCCGGAAUCACUGGGCUUAAAGGGCGCGUAGGCGGGCAGGCAAGUCGAAGGUGAAAUCCCACGGCUCAACCGUGGAAGUGCCCCCGAUACUGCCUGUCUCGAGGGAGAUAGGGGCGUGCGGAACUUCCGGUGGAGCGGUGAAAUGCGUAGAUAUCGGGAGGAACACCUGUGGCGAAGGCGGCCCCCUGGUUGGAUACUGACGCUGAUACGCGAAAGCGUGGGGAGCAAACAGG
rnacentral:rRNA from 1 species